rnacentral:antisense_RNA from 1 species
AGCGCCUGGCGCGGGCCCGAACGUAAAUGGCGCUCCUCCGCGCCGCAGCCGCAGACGCCCCGCUCCCUUCCCGCCCCGCCAGCUGCCGCCCUCCCGCGUUCGCUUCUCGCCCCGCGGCCUGGCCCGUGCGCCUCCGAGGCUGGCCAGGGGCACCGAGGCCGCGGGCCCCCCAUCGCCCCCACCCGAGCCCUGAUUUACCGUCCGAGAGCCGGCGGCACAUGGGACCCCGAGAGGAGAAGCGCGCCCGCCCCAGUGCGUCCCCAGGCGGGGGGGCCCCGACUCCUGGAGGGACCGCGUCCUGCCCGGCCCGGGAAGUUCAGGGCUGGCGAACCCCUUCCCCGACCCCAUUUCUCUUUUAACAAGAGUAGGGUUUGUGGCCAACCAUCGUCCUGACAGCUCAGCUCUGCUUUCCCUUUAAGCAUUAAUAUCAAAGCCCUGCCUGCUACCGCUGAAGCCCCGACCCGGGAGGGCCCGAAAGUCCCUUCAGGGAGAGGCCGCACUGGGCCUGCUCACCCAGGGGCUGCCCCUGCAGACUCUCCCGAGGGGCCCAGGGAUAUUCCUCGCGCCGCGAGUGGACGCUUCCAUCCACCCCAUGGGGAGGGCCUCUGCGCGUGGCUACUUUGAGCCCUCUGGAAUGCUGAGAUAGUUGCAUAAUUUCAGAAACCACGGCAUGGAGACGGAAUGAUGCAGACUCCUAUCCGCGAGACACCUGCUGUAAUUUCGCUGUGGUUCGUGAGGACGCGUCCUGGGCUGCCCUGAGAAGCCUACGUCUCCCCUUCGAGGCCUGGGAAGACCUCCGACCACGCUGACAAUGCUGGGCCCUCAGCCAGACCUGCCCUGCGUGCCACGUUCUGUUCUGAGAUCGGGCUGCCGAGCUGUGGCCUGGAGGAAACCUGGCAGGUGUCACCAGAGCUUUGGGGAGGGUGGGGCCCUGUCGGGGAAGCCCAGUGGGAGUCAUGAAGGAGGGAACACGUGUGGAGCCCUUGUAGGGGGAGGGGCAGCCCUGCAGAGAUCUAAGAAAAAAUUCCAGAAAAAUGAGCAGCAACCUCCAAGGCCAGGCAUCGGUGCAGGGGACAAGGGGUCGUAGCUGGAGGGGCCUAGGUGAGGCUGCCGGGAAGGGACUAUGUGGUUGGUGGAGUGCACAGGCAGGGACCUCACUGGACUUUCCUGUCUGCUCGGCAUGGACAGGCAGCCCAGGAGAAGGCAGCAGGUGGCCGGGUGCAGGGACGUACCACCCCCACUUCCCCAGGGGAGCUGGGGUCACACGAGUCCCAGGCACUCCAUCCUCUGCAGCAAGUCAGGUUGUGAUUUACUAGGGGGUGGUGAAUAUAAUGGAGAGACUUCUGGGGAGGAAUUCCUGGCUCCCGCGUGGACUUGCAGAGCUCAACAGGCAGCCACGUGGCUGAGUGUCCAGCAAACAUCACAUAAGGCUUUGGGUCCUGCAGGUGGGGCUGCCAUGAGCAGCAAGCUCAGUCCAGAAGAGCAGUUCCUCUCCAGGAUCCACUUCCUGCGCACUUUUAUGUGCAGUGUAGCUGGAGCAGAGCUCCCCGGAAUUCCACAGGCAACUGAGAACGGAGAGGGAUGCAGGCCAGCCAGGGAUCCAGCGUCUUCCCCAUCGUCACUCUUCAUGGCCUCCGUCUGCACACAGUGUUCGUUUGCACAGCUUGUCAGCGCGUUAUCAUGACUUCUAUUUGGCACCGGCCCGUCUGUCCACUCUCCUGGCUUGUUCCAAGCGCUGCCUUCUCCAGCUGGGGUCCUGGCUGCAGAGCUGUCUGCUCCCCACGUUGGGCAACUCCAGCCAAGAUUCCUACACCCAAAUGUGACCGUGUUGCUCACGAAGAAGGCUCAGCUUUGCGUGUGCCCAGCCGUGUGCACAGCUCGUCCCAACUCCUGCGGGUGGCACCUGCCUCUCCCACCUCCAGUCUUUCCCCUGUGAUGAGCAGAUGACCACCGCCCUCCAGGGUCAGCGUUUGGCUGUUCGUGUGCCUGCCCACCCGCCUCCCUGUGCCUGGGCCUGCCCUGUGCCUGCACACAGGAGGGGCUCAUGGCGUUUGCCCUACACGGAUGGGCUGUCCUGGGAGCUACUGGACAGUCACCUUGGUGAGGAUGCCAGAGGCAUGGGCAUUAGGUUCCCCCGGCCAGCCUCCGUUGCCACAUGGGCUAUUUUUGUCCAUCGCGUGGGACAACCUAGUAUUGGGGGAAAACUCAGUCCACUCUAAAGAAGCAUUGGCGUUUUGGAUGGACGAAUGCUGCUUCAUGCGACUCCAUGUCAAUGGACUAUUUUAUUCAACUCGGGUAUUUAUAAGUGUCUCCUCUGUGCCAGCCACGUGUGAAAGAAGAACUCCAAGUUACUGGACACCAGGACAAACCAGGAGUCUCGCUGUGUCACCCAGGCUGGAGUGCAGUGGUGUGAUCUUGGCUUACUGCUGCAACCUCUGCCUCCCAGGUUCAAGUGAUUCUCCUGCCUCAGCCUCCCAAGUACCUGGGACUACAGAUCUUUAGAUAAGCACUCUUUCAACCAAAUGCCAAUCAGAAAAUCUUUGAAUCCACCUGUGAGCUGGAAGCCCCGCUGUGCUUUGUGUUGUCCUGCCUUUUCGGACCAAUGUAAAUCUCACAUGUACUGAUUGAUGCCUACAUCUCCUUAAAACAUAUAAAAUCAAGCUGUAACCCAACCACCUUGGGCAUGUGUUCUGAGGACUUCUUGAGGCUGUGUCACUGGUCAUGAUCCUUAACCUUGGCAAAAUAAACUUCUAAACUGAU